rnacentral:lncRNA from 1 species
GUUAAUCAGCUGACCUUAAAUUACAUUAUUCUGGAAAUCCAGGUGCACUUAAUGUAAUCACAGGGGUCUUUAAAUGUGGUAGAGAGAAGGAAGCAGAUGAGUCAGAGUCAGAGGGAUGAAGUGUGAGAAAGAUUUAACCAGACAUUGCAGGCUUGGAAGAUGGAAGAAGGGGGCCACUGGCCAAAGAAUGCAGGCAGCCGGAAAAAGUAAGAGAGUGGAUUCUCCCCUCUAGAACCUCUAGAAAGGAACUCAGCCCUGCUGACAUCUUGAGGUUCAUCCAGUGAGACUCAUUUUGAACUUCUGACCUCCAAAACUGAAGGUGAGCAAUUAAUUGCAUAGAAGACCCAGGUCUUCCCAGAGGCUUUCUCGAAGGACACAGCCUUCCUGAACGACUUCUAUAUGAAACAUCAUUUAUCAUUACGCAGAGGGAAAAGAAUGUGACAAAGCAUGAAUGGACCCUUACAGCUUCUUCCUGUAACGCACAAAACUUCUGCUCAUUUUUCCUGGUCAAAUCAAGUCAGAAGACCUAACUUCUGAGGGGUGGGAGGAUAUAAUCUUCUCUCAGGGAGGGAAAACACAUAUUUGGUAAACAAAAAUGAAAUUUACCAGGAUUACCAUGUCAGAACCUAAGAGAACAUAAACAUUUAACUUGCUCUUAGAAAAAGGAGCACCUUUCAAAAAUGCUGAAAGAAGUAGCCAAAAAUAUAAGUGGAAAACACAGACGAAGAAUUUUUUCUGAAAAAGAGAAGGAAAAAUAUUUUAGUUUAAAUUCGUUAAUGAUUUUUGAAAUUUAUGUACCAUUGGUAUAUUUGCUAUUCAUAAUCAUUUAUAACGAGGAGUAUGGGGGUAAAACUUGUUACUAUCUUAAACACUUCUUGCUGAAGAAUUACUCGCAAGAAAUACUCUGUAAAGGUAGAAAUACUUCCAAAUUUCUCUUCAUAGUUAAAAUAUAUGUUUUCCUAGAAAAUUAAAGUUAGUUUUAAAUUUCUCAAACUAGGUCCUUGUUGAAGGCCUUGGAACAAGUAUUCGUAUUUGCCCCUUCCAUUUCAGGCAAAAUGGAAGCUCCCGCAGAUGGAGCUCUGCCUGAUCUGCCGUAGAUUCCGGGGACUGUUGGACAGUGACUUCUGGAACAGACACUCUUUGAAUUUUCUUUCUAUGGGAAUUGCAUAGUGCUGCGUUCGACGUGCUAAAGGAAACAUUACACUGAUAGGCAGAAAGAAAGAGAGGAAGAGAGAAGAGAGACUGAAAGGCAAACAGAGUUAAGAAAACCUUUUUCUCCAUUCUCUUAAAGAACUAUGACUUACAGCAAUUGGACACAAUUGGAAACACUGGUUCUAUUACCAAGACUUUGACUGGAACAUCAUAUUUUAAAAAAAACAUGUGGGCUUAAAUAUAACAAGGCAGCUCUGGAGGAAUGAAGGUUGACAUUCUGGAAUAAAGCCACUUGGAAAUAUUGGCCUGCCUUACAAACUGAAGCUGGAAGACCCAAUAUAAACUUAAGAGAGAUUCAUGUCUACUGCUGUGUAAGCCACUCAAAGAGCUACCUGAAAGCUGGAUGACACCAUCAGAGACAUUUCAAACUGCAAAAGAUGCUUCAACCCUGACUUCUAGGAAUCUUGAUUGGCUGCCCCCUGGGCUCAGAAACUGGUUUAUAAUUUUCUCCAACCAUUAACCUUGUUUUUCUCUUUUUGUUUCUCUUAUUAAAUACCUGGUUGCUUACUUACAUGAUACAGGCCUACCUUCAGGAGCCCACCAGCAUCAUUGCCUUAUUAAAAGACUGGUUCAAUGAGAUGAGACAACCUACACCCAUUUCAGCAGGAAGUAGCUAGACCAGUCGCCACCCCAAAUCCCUCAAGAUUGAGGGAUGGACAUAAAAUAGGGGGAGUUGAUAUCGACCCUGAUAUCAGUUUCCCCACAUUAAACCCAGCAUAUAUGGGGUUAAACCAAAACACUCAUUCCCUGCUGACUCUCUGGCUUCCUGGCUCCAGAAUCCACUAUCCUCCAUGGAGACAAACACUGUCAUGGACAAGCACCUGGACUAUCUCCUCCCGCAAAGAGAUAUGGGCUGGUGGGAAAGCUGCUGACUAGCCAAGGUCACAAGCUCUCUCCUCUCUGUAAGUGUCUCAAGGCCAAAGAUGGGCUGGUGGGAAAGCUCCAACCAGCAAAGCCAUAUGCUCCCCCUCCCCUCCCUAAAACCCCAAAUAAAAUCCUUCCUUUUAGCUUUUCGGGGAGUUUGGGAUUUCAGUGUUAGCUGCCCUCUCUCCUUGCUCAGCACUGUGCAAAAAUAAAAUUCCUACUUUCUUCCACCACCCCCGGUGUCAGAAAUUGUCUUGCUGUGCAACAAGUGAGUGAAUUCACUUCAGGUUCGGUAACAUUUUCAAAUUUAGUGUAGAUUUCAUCUUUCCUGUGGUUGCUUCAACUUUCUCUCCAGCUCCUUAGCUAGUGUCCCU